rnacentral:rRNA from 1 species
CGGUGUUUAACUGGCGUGAUGUGGGACGUCCUACCGGUGGGCUUAGCCUCGCGAGGGGCGGCCCAACUAAUAUCCCGUCGCGGUGCUCUUUACUGAGUGUCGAGUCGGGCCGGUACGUUUACUUUGAACAAAUUAGAGUGCUUAAAGCAGGCUAUCCUCGCCUGAAUACUGCGUGCUUGGAAUAAUGGAAUAGGACCUCGGUUCUAUUUUGUUGGUUUUCGGAACCCCGAGGUAAUGAUUAAUAGGGACAGAUGGGGGCAUUCGUAUUGCGACGUUAGAGGUGAAAUUCUUGGAUCGUCGCAAGACGGACAGAAGCGAAAGCAUUUGCCAAAAAUGUUUUCAUUAAUCAAGAACGAAAGUUAGAGGUUCGAAGGCGAUCAGAUACCGCCCUAGUUCUAACCAUAAACGAUGCCAGCUAGCGAUCCGCCGAAGUUCCUCCGAUGACUCGGCGGGCAGCUUCCGGGAAACCAAAGCUUUUGGGUUCCGGGGGAAGUAUGGUUGCAAAGCUGAAACUUAAAGGAAUUGACGGAAGGGCACCACCAGGAGUGGAGCCUGCGGCUUAAUUUGACUCAACACGGGAAACCUCACCAGGCCCAGACACCGGAAGGAUUGACAGAUUGAUAGCUCUUUCUUGAUUCGGUGGGUGGUGGUGCAUGGCCGUUCUUAGUUGGUGGAGCGAUUUGUCUGGUUAAUUCCGAUAACGAACGAGACUCUAGCCUGCUAAAUAGGCGUACCUUAUGGUAUCGCGAAGGCCCCCGGCUUCGGCCGGUGGGUUUUUACUACCAACGUACAAACAAAUCUUCUUAGAGGGACAGGCGG